UACAGAGGGGCAAGCGUUGUUCGGAAUUACUGGGCGUAAAGGCGCGUAGGCGGCCUUCUAAGUCGAACGUGAAAUCCCUGGGCUCAACCCAGGAACUGCGUCCGAUACUGGGAGGCUUGAAUCCGGAGAGGGAUGCGGAAUUCCAGGUGUAGCGGUGAAAUGACGUAGAUAUCUGGAGGAACACCGGUGGCGAAGGACGGCAUCCUGGACCGGUAUUGACGCUGAGGCGCGAAAGCCAGGGGAGCAAACGGG
rnacentral:rRNA from 1 species